CUCUGUGACUCCUACGGGAGGCAGCAGUGGGGAAUAUUGCACAAUGGGGGAAACCCUGAUGCAGCCAUGCCGCGUGUGUGAAGAAGGCCUUCGGGUUGUAAAGCACUUUCAGUAGGAGGAAGGUAGUGUAGUUAACACCUGCACUAUUUGACGUUACCUACAGAAGAAGCACCGGCUAACUCCGUGCCAGCAGCCGCGGUAAUACGGAGGGUGCGAGCGUUAAUCGGAAUUACUGGGCGUAAAGCGCAUGCAGGCGGCCUGUUAAGUCAGAUGUGAAAGCCCGGGGCUUAACCUCGGAAUUGCAUUUGAAACUGGCAGGCUAGAGUCUUGUAGAGGGGGUAGGAAUUUCAGGUGUAGCGGUGAAAUGCGUAGAGAUCUGAAGGAAUACCAGUGGCGAAGGCGGCCCCCUGGACAAAGACUGACGCUCAGAUGCGAAAGCGUGGGGAGCAAACAGGAUUAGAUACCCUGGUAG
rnacentral:rRNA from 1 species